GGCCUUUCUUCUGUAUUUCCUGAUAACCCCCUGCAGAAAUAGACAAACACCAAAACUCAUGGAAUUCUGUCAGAUAAAACCCUAAGUCUAGAUGUUGAUUUCAUUUGGAUCCUUUUCUUUAUUUAUUUGAUAAUUAAAUUUGAUACUUAAGGACCGUCAACAAACUCCCCCAAGCUUACCUCUUGCUCAUCCCUGAGCAAGGAUAGACUCAGCUAUGCAUCAUAAGUUGUUGCAAUAUCUUUGAGGUACACAUGCUUUUUUAAAUAAGGUCUCAUCUUUGAGUUAGAGUAAACUGUCAAGACUUAAAACUUACUUACUUUACCUUCACCAUGGGACUUGUAACCGUCACUUCUGUCUUGAGUGGUUAAAAGAUAGAACAGUCUAGUCGAGUGCCAUGUCUCUUAUUCUUGAUCAGCUAUAGCUCUGGGGUUUUUGCAGAUUUUCAAAUAAAACUCAGAGAUUCCUUGUAUGAUUCUCUCAGAUCUCUCUUUUGUGGUAUUUCUGGAUCCUUACCAAGGUAGUGAUGGUAUAUGCCUUCUCUCAAGAUAUGUAGUAUUUGUAGUAUAAGGCAUAGUGACAUUGCCUUCUCUCUCACCCUACUCUAAUAAGGCUUUUAUAUCUGGAGCUCAUAGGUGGGAGAUAAAAUAUACAUACUUACAAGACAUGUGUUGUAUAGUCAAACCAUGGAUCCAAAGAAACAAAUCAAUAAGUCAAAUCAAGAUGUGCACGUGUGGCGAAUGAAUGGUGUAUGGUGGUAAUGGUGAUAAUAAUGGUGGAAGUCUAAUUCUACUUUUGCUCUUUUGAGGGGAUAUAUACCUUUCUUGCUUUUUGAAACUUUAUGAGGAGAAUGAGAUGCUCUUCUUUUUUUUUCUUUUCUCUCAGGUGGGUAUCUUGUACCCCUAAUUCUACUGUCGGACACUUGUCCAUUUUUACCUCUCGUCUCACUUUUUCUUUUCUUCGAGGUUCCGGGCACUUGCCCCUUUUUAUUUCCUCGUAUCUCUUUUUUUUAGAGCACUCAUCUCUUGAGAUAAUAUAGCAAGUGGUAGUAACAAGAUAACUUGAGCAUUUAUUUCAUAAGGGAAAACAUAAAUGUUUUUGGCUAUUCUCUCCCGGAUUAGGAGUAAAAUAUUUUUGGGUGAUUUUGGAGAUGGAAAUGGGUGGAUAUAUGUGGAUGGUACUUCCGGAGUAGAAGUAGCAUAUAUGAGUGAACGUGCAAGUGAAUCUUGAUUUAACCACAUGACAAUCUCCUAAGGGUCUACACAGCUUGACCACACUCAAUGCUCAUAAGCAGUAAAUAAUAAAUGUGUGGCUCAAAGUCUAGCAAGCAUGUAUAUAUGGCUGUGGUAGGAAUUUAAACUCUCAUCAUACAGGAACUCAUCAUGCAACAUUUUAAAGAUUUUCAAAGAUAAAAUUCUCCAGAAUUCUAGCAUCUCUAGGAACAGAUAAACAGCAGCUCAACCUUCCCAUAUCGUAUCCGUUAACAACUUAGACUUCAGAUCAAGUUUUCAUCCCACAAGUUUAGGUCUAGAGCAAGCCUUAAAUUAUAACAGUUAUGUCUAAACUUGAGAGAGAACUUCAAAUGUGCAAAUUAGGCAGAGCAACUAUUCAUCAUAUCCAUGCUUGAGUUUUAUUAUUAAGAUACAGAUUAGCAUAGCCACUUUAUUUAUUUAUUAAACACACUAAGCAAA
rnacentral:lncRNA from 1 species